rnacentral:RNase_P_RNA from 1 species
GCAGCAGGACGGUCUGUCGCUCGUGUUUCGGCACGGGAGGAAAGUCCGGGCAACACAGGGCACCAUGCCGGCUAACGACCGGUGGGCAGCAAUGUUCAGGCAGCGUAACAGAGAAUAACCGCCCGCAAGGGUAAGGGUGAAAAGGCGAGGUAAGAGCUCACCGCACACAUGGCAACAUGGCGUGGCUGUACGUCCCAUGGGUUGUAAGAUCAUGUAUAUCGGUGAUUGAGAGCAAUUCUUGAUUAAGGGCUGCCCGCCCGAUGCCGAGGGGUAGAUUGCUGGAGCCCGAUUGAGAAAUCGGGUCGAGAUUGAUGACAGACGCCGCAGCAAUGCGGUACAGAACCCGGCUCAUAGGCUUACUGUCUUC